rnacentral:rRNA from 1 species
AUAAUUAUUAGUUUUUUAAUUGAAAGCUUGUAUGAAGGGUUGGACGAGAUGAAAUCUGUCUUUAUUUAAAUUAAAAUAUAAUUUAACUUUUAAGUAAAAAGGCUUAAAUGUUUAUAAAAGACGAGAAGACCCUAUAGAUCUUUAUUUAAUUAAAAUUUUAAUAAUUUAGGAUUAUUUUAAUUUAAAGUUUUAAUUAAAUUUUAUUGGGGUAAUAUAAAGAUUAAAUAAAUUCUUUUUAUUUAUGACAUUGAUUUAUGAAUAUAUGAUCCAUUAAUAUUGAUUAUAAGAUUAAGUUACCUUAGGGAUAACAGCGUAAUUUUUUUGGAGAGCUCAUAUCGAUAAAAAAGUUUGCGACCUCGAUGUUGGAUUAAAAAUUAGCUUGGGUGCAGAAGCUCAAGAUUUUGGUCUGUUCGACCAUUAAAUUUUUACAUGAUCUGAGUUCAGACCGGCGUGAGCCAGGUCGGUUUCUAUCUUUAUUAAGAUAAAAUGUUUUAGUACGAAAGGACCAAAUAUUUAAUAUAAUUAUAUUUAUUUUUUGAAGAAUAUU